GAUGAACGCUGGCGGCGUGCUUAACACAUGCAAGUCGAACGAGAAGUGAAGACGGAAACCUUCGGGCGGAAGGCUUUAUUUCGAGUGGCGGACGGGUGAGUAACGCGUGGGUAACCUGCCUCAUACAGGGGGAUAACAGUUGGAAACGACUGUUCAUACCGCAUAAGACCACAGCACCGCAUGGUGCGGGGGUAAAAACUCCGGUGGUAUGAGAUGGACCCGCGUUCGAUUAGCCAGUUGGCGGGGUAACGGCCCACCAAAGCGACGAUCGAUAGCCGAUCGGAGAGGAGGAACGGCGAGAUUGGGACUGAGACACGGCCCAAACUCCAACGAGAGGGAGCGGUGGGGAAUAUAGCAGAAUGAGGGAAAAGCUGAUGCAGCGACGCGGCGUGAGUGAAGAAGUAGUUCGGUAUGUAAAGCUCUAUGAGCAGAGAAGAAAAUGACGGUACCUGAAUAAGAAGCCCCGGCUAACUACGUG
rnacentral:rRNA from 1 species